rnacentral:rRNA from 1 species
CACGGGGUUGCGAGCGUUGUCCGGAAUUACUGGGCGUAAAGGGCGCGCAGGCGGUAUAUCAAGUCAGCUGUCAAAGACUGGGGCUCAACCCUGGUAUGCGGUUGAAACUGAUAUGCUGGAGUGCUGUAGAGGCAAGUGGAAUUCCCAAGUGUAGCGGUGAAAUGCGUAGAUAUUGGGAAGAACACCGGUGGCGAAGGCGACUUGCUGGGCAGCAACUGACGCUGAGGCGCGAAAGCCAGGGGAGCAAACGGGAUUAGA